CCCUUAGAUGUUCUGGGCCGCACGCGUGCUACACUGAGUGGAUCAGCGGGUCAGGUUGCGCGAAAGUGUUUCCUAAUCUUUAAAUCCGCUCGUGAUGGGGAUUGACGGUUGCAAUUUUCCGUCAUGAACGAGGAUUGCCUUGUAAGCGCACGUCAUCAGCGUGCAUUGAAUACGACCCUGUAUUCUGUACACACCGCCCGUCGCUCCUACCGAUUGAAGUUUUCGGUGAGUUGACAGGAGGAUUUUUUUGAAACUGGUUCGCCAGUGGAUUUUAGAUCCAAAUGCCAACGAAUCGAUGGCUUUAGAGGAAGGAGAAGUCGUAACA
rnacentral:rRNA from 1 species